AAGUCUCGACUGAGGCAGAAGUUCCAGUGUGUCUUUGAAGGCAUCGCUAAAGCAGGAAAGCCAACCAUUCUGAACCAGAUCUACACAGAGCUCUACAUCACAGAGGGAGGGACUGGAGAGGUCAACGAUGAACAUGAGGUCAGACAGAUUGAAACAGCCUUCAGGAAACCAGACAGAGCAGAAACAAGCAUCAGACCAGAAGACGUCUUUAAAGGCUCAGCUGGAAGAGAUGGAGCCAUCAGAACAGUGAUGACAAAGGGAGUGGCUGGCAUUGGGAAAACAGUCCUAACACAGAAGUUCACUCUGGACUGGGCUGAAGGCAAAGCCAACCAGGACAUACACUUCACAUUUCCAUUCACAUUCAGAGAGCUGAAUGUGCUGAAAGAUCAAAUGUUCAGCUUGGUGGAACUUGUUCAUCACUUCUUCACUGAAACUAAAGAAGCAGGAAUCUGCAGGUUUGAACACUUCAAGGUUGUUUUCAUCCUGGAUGGUCUGGAUGAGUGUCGACUUCCCCUGGACUUCAACAAGACUAAAACCCUGACUGAUGUCACAGAGUCCACCUCAGUGGAUGUGCUGCUGACAAACCUGAUCAGGGGGAACCUGCUUCCCUCUGCUCACCUCUGGAUCACCACACGACCUGCAGCAGCCAAUCAGAUCCCUCCUGACUGUGUUGACAUGGUGACGGAGGUCAGAGGGUUCACUGACCCACAGAAGGAUGAGUACUUUAGCAAGAGAUUCACAGAUGAGCAGCAGGCAGCAACAAUCAUCUCCCACAUUAAGAUGUCACGAAGCCUCCACAUCAUGUGCCACAUCCCAGUCUUCUGCUGGAUCACUGCUACGGUUCUGGAGGAGCUGCUGGAAACCAGAGAGGGAGGAGAGCUGCCCAAGACCCUGACGGAGAUGUACAUCCACUUCCUGGUGGUUCAGACCAAAGUGAAGAACAUCAAGUAUGAUGGAGGAGCUGAGACAGAUCCACUCUGGAGUCCAGAGAGCAGGAAGAUGAUUGAGUCUCUGGGAAAACUGGCUUUUGAGCAGCUGCAGAAAGGAAACCUGAUCUUCUAUGAGUCAGACCUGACAGAGUGUGGCAUCGAUGUCAGAGCAGCCUCAGUUUAUUCAGGGGUGUUCACACAGGUCUUUAAAGAGGAAAGAGGGCUGUAUCAGGACAAGGUGUUCUGAGGCUCUUCUGAGGUUGCUGCCUGUGGUAAAAGCUUCCAACACAGCUCUAUUACAGUUAGAGAGAAGCUGUGAAGCUCUGUCCUCAGUUCUCAGCUCUCAGUCCUCUAGUCUGAGAGAACUGGACCUGAGUAACAACAACCUGCAGGAUUCAGGAGUGAAGCUACUGUCUGUUGGACUGAAAAGUCCUCACUGUCGACUGGAGACUCUCAGCCUGAGUGUGUGUGACCUGUCAGAGAGAAGCUGUGAAGCUCUGUCCUCAGCUCUCAGCUCUCAGUCCUCUAGUCUGAGAGAACUGGACCUGAGUAACAACAACCUGCAGAAUUCAGGAGUGAAGGUUCUGUGUGCUGGACUGAAGAGUCCUCACUGUCGACUGGAGACUCUCAGGCUGUCAGGCUGUCUGCUCUCAGAGGAAGCUUGUGUCUCUCUGACCUCAGCUCUGAGCUCCAACCCCUCCCAUCUGAGAGAGCUGGACCUGAGCUACAAUCAUCCAGGAGACUCAGGAGUGGAGCUGCUGUCUGCUGGAGUCAAGGAUCCACACUGGAGACUGGACACUCUCAGGGUGGAGCCUGGUGGAGUCCAUUGGUUGAGACCAGGUCUGAGCAAGUAUUUCUGUCAACUCACCAUCGACACAAACACAGUGAACAGGAAACUACAACUGUCUGACAACAACAGGAAGGUGAUACGUGUGGAGGAGGAUCAGUCAUAUCCUGAUCAUCCAGACAGAUUUGACUACUGGCCUCAGCUUCUGUGUAGUAAUGGUCUAACUGGUCGCUGUUACUGGGAGGUUGAGUGGAGAGGAUAUGUUUAUAUAUCAGUGAGUUACAGAGGAAUCAGAAGGAAAGGAAUUAGUGAUGACUGUUUGUUUGGAUACAAUGAUCAUUCCUGGAGUCUGUACUGCUCUAAUGGUUGUUACUCUGUCAGACACAAUAACACAUUUACACCCAUCUCCUCCUCAGUGUCUGACAGAGUAUCAGUGUAUGUGGACUGUCCUGCUGGUUCUCUGUCCUUCUACAGAGUCUCCUCUGACUAACUGAUUCACUUUCACACCUUCAACACCACAUUCACUGAACCUCUUUAUCCAUAUGUGUUAUUAUAAUAUUUGUUUGUUUAUUAAUUUAUGUUGACAUUUUCUGUUGCACUAUUUUAUGAAACCAUUGUCACUUUCACAAACCCUGUUCUGUGGGUUUGUGGUUCCACAGCAUCAGGCUGAACUGGGUACAUGUUCUAUCAGGACUAAAACCUGGUUCCAUAGAGAACUGAUAACGUGUCUCUACCUGUCUGAGCCUGUGGCUACUUUUUGUGAUGAAGGCUACAUGCUACCUGUGCAGCUCAGUGUGUUCACAGACACUUGACUUCAGGAGCAGAGAGAGUCCAGUGUCACUAAGUACUGACUACACAUACUGUGUUUGGACUAGUUUCUCUGAUUUAGUCAGUAAAGUCAAAGGUUGUAGGUCUAAACUGACGUAAACACAAGAGUUCAGAGCAGUGUGUAUCAGGGGAUCCCAGGUUUCUACAAAACCAGUCCAGUUGUUGGUUCAGGUGUAGAACCUGACUCUUGAAGAUGCAUCACAUGUGAUCAAAGAGGAUUCCCACUGAACAAACACAGGAAGCUUCUCCACCUGCAUCUCUCUUCUUUCACGUCACACGUUGAGUCUGUAAAGUCAAGUGCGAAAUCUGCAGAGUGUUCAACUCAGUGAGAUGAGACCAACAUCAUGACAACCAUGAUAAACUCUAGUUGUGGAAAAAUUUAUCCAGGGACUGAAGGUUGUUCGUUCACAUGGUGUAGUUUAUGGAAAAGAGCAGUAACUGAACCGUCAGUGAUGUUAAACAAUGAGUCUGGUCUGUGUUCACACAGAGUCAUGAUCACACCAAUGAAGACUGUAGCUAAAGUCCUGCAGGAAAUGUGGAAUAACGUCUUUGUCUAACUUCACUAUGUCACUCAUGGCCUUGAUGUGAAGCUCCUCAAUGACUGACAGUAAUGAUGUCACUCAAAGUGACUGUAACACAGUAAUUUCACAUAAAAAGUAUUUAUGUGCAGAAAUAAUGAAAACAUAUCAAAAGGCAGCACAGACAGUGCAGGUUCAGCAGCUUGGUUCUACUUUUCCAUCCAUCCCUGUACAUCUGGUUCUGAAACACACAAUAAUAGUAGAACUUCACCUGGACGACAAACAGUCAGUUUAACAGCAUCAGUGAACAGGUUGAACUCCUCCUCUGCUUCUUCCCUCUGUGAUGGAGCUGCACUCCUACAAACAAUGUCCUUCCUGUUUCUGAAGCAUUUCAGGAACAAGAACAGGGCAAACCUGGAUCAGCUGAUUGUCUCCUCCCAUAAAGAAGAAGAGCAUCAGUCAAAGGGUCCAGUCGAUGGAUGGACUCAUUCAAACAUUCUAAGAAGGAACCGUGACCUCUGCUGCCUUCUCCACCUUAUCCAUACCCUGCUCAACUCGUAAUCUGAUACUGUAACUAAUGUAAACAUGAAAUACUGGAACAGCCAGACAAACGCUUGCUUGAAAAUCCUUGUUCUUUGCCCUGAUUGAACAUAAAACAGCAUCUUUUAGAGAGGGGGCGGAGCCUCGGUGAUCACGUGAUCCAGUAGCGAAACUGAACGUCUUCAGUAAGUUCUCCAUUUUGCAAGAACAGAGCAGAAGGAGAAAAAGUUAAAUAAACACCAGGAAGAAGAAGAAGAAACGUU